UAGGGAAUCUUCGGCAAUGGACGGAAGUCUGACCGAGCAACGCCGCGUGAGUGAAGAAGGUUUUCGGAUCGUAAAGCUCUGUUGUUAGAGAAGAACACUGGUAGGAGUGGAAAAUCUACCAAGUGACGGUAACUAACCAGAAAGGGACGGCUAACUACGUGCCAGCAGCCGCGGUAAUACGUAGGUCCCGAGCGUUGUCCGGAUUUAUUGGGCGUAAAGCGAGCGCAGGCGGUUCUUUAAGUCUGAAGUUAAAGGCAGUGGCUUAACCAUUGUACGCUUUGGAAACUGGAGGACUUGAGUGCAGAAGGGGAGAGUGGAAUUCCAUGUGUAGCGGUGAAAUGCGUAGAUAUAUGGAGGAACACCGGUGGCGAAAGCGGCUCUCUGGUCUGUAACUGACGCUGAGGCUCGAAAGCGUGGGGAGCAAACAGGAUUAGAUACCCUGGUAGUCCACGCCGUAAACGAUGAGUGCUAGGUGUUAGGCCCUUUCCGGGGCUUAGUGCCGCAGCUAACGCAUUAAGCACUCCGCCUGGGGAGUACGACCGCAAGGUUG
rnacentral:rRNA from 1 species